rnacentral:rRNA from 1 species
UUCUGGCUCAGGAUGAACGCUGGCGGCGUGCCUAACACAUGCAAGUCGAACGAAGCAUACGGACUGGAGAUUCGUCGAAGGACUGUAUGACUUAGUGGCGGACGGGUGAGUAAUGUAUGAGCAACCUGCCUUUCAGAGGGGGACAACAGUUGGAAACGACUGCUAAUACCGCGUAACGUAUCGUGGGGGCAUCCUCGUGAUACCAAAGGAGCAAUCCGCUGAAAGAUGGGCUCAUAUCUGAUUAGCUUGUUGGCGGGGUAACGGCCCACCAAGGCGACGAUCAGUAGCCGGACUGAGAGGUUGAACGGCCACAUUGGGACUGAGAUACGGCCCAGACUCCUACGGGAGGCAGCAGUGGGGAAUAUUGGGCAAUGGGCGAAAGCCUGACCCAAGCAACGCCGCGUGAAGGAAGAAGGUCUUCGGAUUGUAAACUUCUUUUAUGAGGGACGAAGGACGUGACGGUACCUCAUGAAUAAGCCACGGCUAACUACGUGCCAGCAGCAGC